AACGAACGCUGGCGGCAGGCUUAACACAUGCAAGUCGAGCGCCCCGCAAGGGGAGCGGCAGACGGGUGAGUAACGCGUGGGAACGUACCCUUUGCUACGGAAUAGCUCCGGGAAACUGGAAUUAAUACCGUAUGUGCCCUACGGGGGAAAGAUUUAUCGGCAAAGGAUCGGCCCGCGUUGGAUUAGCUAGUUGGUGGGGUAAUGGCCUACCAAGGCGACGAUCCAUAGCUGGUCUGAGAGGAUGAUCAGCCACAUUGGGACUAAGACACGGCCCAAACUCCCACGGGAGGCAGCAGUGGGGAAUAUUGGACAAUGGGCGCAAGCCUGAUCCAGCCAUGCCGCGUGAGUGAUGAAGGCCUUAGGGUUGUAAAGCUCUUUCACCGGAGAAGAUAAUGACGGUAUCCGGAGAAGAAGCCCCGGCUAACUUCGUGCCAGCCGCCGCAGUAACAC
rnacentral:rRNA from 1 species